GACGAACGCUGGCGGCGUGCUUAACACAUGCAAGUCGAACGAUGAAGCUGGAGCUUGCUCCGGUGGAUUAGUGGCGAACGGGUGAGUAACACGUGAGCAAUCUGCCCUUGACUCUGGGAUAACUGCGGGAAACUGUAGCUAAUACCGGAUACUUUCACUGGAAGGCAUCUUCUGGUGAAGAAAGAAUUUCGGUCAAGGAUGAGCCCGCGGCCUAUCAGCUUGUUGGUGAGGUAACGGCUCACCAAGGCGACGACGGGUAGCCGGCCUGAGAGGGUGACCGGCCACACUGGGACUGAGACACGGCCCAGACUCCUACGGGAGGCAGCAGUGGGGAAUAUUGCACAAUGGGCGCAAGCCUGAUGCAGCAACGCCGCGUGAGGGAUGAAGGCCUUCGGGUUGUAAACCUCUUUUAGCAGGGAAGAAGCGAAAGUGACGGUACCUGCAGAAGAAGCACCGGCUAACUACGUGCCAGCAGCCGCCGUAA
rnacentral:rRNA from 1 species